AGUAGCUGUGCCGGGAAAACGCGCGACUUUUGAGACGAGAUGGAAUCAUUAAUGUCGUCGUCAGUGACUGAAGACUGUGGAAGCUGAUUUGAGGCUGCACACCUGAGUCAUGAUGGAAAGAGAAAAGGUCCCAGGUGGCAAACCCCGAGAUACCAGCAAGGCUAUGAGCUGUGGACUGCUGCUGUCUAAUAAGAUCCCUCUGUUGUAAAGUUCCUUCGGGCUGCUAAGGUGAUGAUAAGACCAUGGGCUCCCUCACCCUCUCUCCUGAUUCUGUUCACAUCUCUGG